GCCUCGUAACGUGGAUAGUCUCCCUUCUCAAGGAUAAACUGCUGGCCCUGGAACUCAGGGUACUCAUAACCCAACCAGCUAAAACACAGGCGGGGAGAGAGAGAAAACGAGAGAGGGAACGAGAACGAAAGAGAGAAAACAAGAGCGUCAGCAGGAACUCACAACGCUUGCCCUGGAAGUUCUCCUCCUCCCAGACAGUGAUCUUGAACUGGCCCAUCUGCUCCAUCUGCUGAGUGUUCAUGGUUGCUAUUUCCACCGUGGGGUUGCUCUCUACCAAAAGGGGACAAGGAAGACCAGAGGAACUAAUCCUCCUAAGGACCUGACAGCGCAUGCAGGUGACAUCUGCUCUGUGAAUGGCUCUGCGUAGGAGUGGACCACAACAGGCCAGCAGGUUUUACCCGAGGACAGCGAACGCGUCCGUAAUGGCAACCUAUUCCCCAUACAUGGUACCCAUAGGGCUCUGGUCAAAAGUAGUACACUAUAUAGGGAAUAGGAGGCCAUUUCAGACGCGUUCAGAGAGGUGCUGCAGUCCUGGGUUCUCUCCCUCCCUCCCGCCAUACCCCACCCCCAUCUCUGUGCUCACUGCUCAGAUUGGUUUUAAAGAGAGAGGAUUCUCCAGCGGACACCUGUCACAUGGGGCGUUGCUCAGUUCCAAUAUUGACACAAUAGUCUGGGGAGUGCAGAUUAGUUCAACUCCUCUCUAUUAUGCCAACCCUCCCCUCUCUAUGCAAACCGACAGUGCGUUGCGCUCCCUCCAAUUGACGAAAUGGAAGGAUUCGCUGACCUUUGUGCUCGCGCUGAACCUACAGAGAAUGGGCCAUUGAACGGUGGCUUCAUUCACCUGUGUUGAAGAUCACAUCAUCAGGACUGGAGUACUGCUGGCCAAGACCGUCUCCUUGAAUAAGAAAGGAGGGAGAUGAUCAAUGAACAGUGUGGUGAUGAAGAAAACACCACCAUACAGUUUGUUGCUGAAGAGGUAAAAAAAACAAAAAACAUCUGGAAUCAAGGGUUGGCAUUCAAAAUCGCACCCGAUCACCUACGUAGGGCCCUAGUCAAAAGAAGUGCUCUGUGUAGGUAAUAGGGUGCCAACACAGUCACAAACGAACAAGGCAGUUAACCCAGUGUUCCUAGGCCAUCACUGUAAAUAAGAGUUAAGAGUUAGAGUUAAAAGGUAAAAUAAAAAAAUACAA